rnacentral:rRNA from 1 species
UUGGAGGGCAAGUCUGGUGCCAGCAGCCGCGGUAAUUCCAGCUCCAAUAGCGUAUAUUAAAGUUGUUGUGGUUAAAAAGCUCGUAGUUGAACCUUGGGCCUGGCUGGCCGGUCCGCCUCACCGCGUGUACUGGUCCGGCCGGGGCCUUUCCCUCUGUGGAACCCCAUGCCCUUCACUGGGUGUGGCGGGGAAACAGGACUUUUACUGUGAAAAAAUUGAGUGCUCCAGGCAGGCCUAUGCUCGAAUACAUUAGCAUGGAAUAAUAGAAUAGGA